rnacentral:lncRNA from 10 species
UAUAUUCUCAUGUUCCUGGUUUCUUCCACUCAACAUUCAGCCAGAUGCAGUGUCGUGAGAACCCCAGUACUUGCGGUGAGGCAAUGGAAAGGAACUGAAGUGCUUCUAUUGAUGUCUCCAGCCGAGCUCCCAGCCAACAGCCAGCACCGAGUGCCAGUGUGUGAGCAAGUCACCAGGGAUGUCCAGUCAAGAUGAACCUUCAGAUGACCACAGAACCCAGCUGACAUCUCAGGGAGUAAAAC